rnacentral:lncRNA from 1 species
GGGUCCUGGGAGCUGUGUAUGUCCGCGGUGCGGGAGCGGUUCCAGGGAAGGGCCACGGAGCUGGUGAAGGGCUUGGAUCACAAGUGUGAUGAGGAGCAGCUGGAGGAACUGGUGGUAUUAGUCUGGAGAAGAGAAGGCUCAGGGGGGACUUUAUCGUUCUCUACAACUGCCUGAAAGGAGGAUGGAGCCAGGAGUGGUCUAUCCUGAUUUGCUGUCUGGAAUCUCUUCUGCAAGGUUUGCUGGGAAGCCUUGGAAGAUGUGGUGCUUCUAUAACAUCUUUAUGCUAGAAACACAAGGAGCAUGUGACUAUGCAGUUCUAUUCAACCUGACGGAUGAGAUACCUAUAUUCCCUGAUGUGAACAAAACCAACUUGAAUUCCAGUGAUUCUUCAGACACUUUCUUACAGGGAUCAAUGUAUGCUUUCCUUCUGUUAGCAAUGCAAACUAAAGGGAUCAGUUUUAAUAGGACAUACUUUCAAAUAUUUAUUUUCCCAUAUUUUUUUAAAGAAUCCAGCUUGGCAUGCUAGAGUGGCAACUUAUCAGAAGCAUCCAGGUCAUAAAUCACUGUUGCUAUUUCAUGUUGCAUUUCAGACUGUAAUUUUUCUUUUCUUCCUUCAAAUCUUUCAUGACUCAAAAAAGAAAAAAAAAAA